rnacentral:Y_RNA from 1 species
GGUUGGUCUGAGUACAGUAGUGUUUACAACUAAUUGAUCACAAUCAGUGACAGAUUCCUUUGUUCCUUCUCCACUCCUUCACUUGACCAGCCUAAA